rnacentral:rRNA from 1 species
AUUGAACUGAAGAGUUUGAUCCUGGCUCAGAUUGAACGCUGGCGGCAUGCCUUACACAUGCAAGUCGAACGGCAGCACGGGUGCUUGCACCUGGUGGCGAGUGGCGAACGGGUGAGUAAUACAUCGGAACAUGUCC